GAGCACCCCCUAGACACCGUUAGAUUUGCUUUUAGAUUCGAUCUCCGCGAGAAGAUGCUCACGGCCAUCAAACGGCCGUGAAAUCUACUUUUCUGCCUCUGAGCUGCAUGUGCAUCCCUGACCUCUUCUCCUCCUCCCGUCGGUCGGCCGCCCCCAAUCCCUCGCUCUCCCGCUGGCCUUGCUAGAAAGGACGGACGGCCGUGCUGUCCACGGCCGGCGGCGCGAAGACGGUGCCGUCGAUGGCCACCACCACGCCCGCGGCGCUCCGGCAGGGGCCCUUGAAGUAGGCCUUGCUGAGCAGGAACCUGUUUGCCGGCGAUGGGCGGCGGAGCACCGGUUUUGACCGCCCGCUGGGCGCUGGCGAGCCCCCGUGCUCGUGCCGGAGACGACCGGCUCGGCUCAGCCCGGAUCUGGGAGCCUGCUGGUCGGCGUUGAUCCGGGGCAGAGGCAGCCCAGCCUCGGCCGCGGGCGCCGGCGUCACCGCGUGCCCGUCCUGCUCUGCUCCCUGCGGGGGCUCUACCGCCGGCAACGUAGCACUGCCGUCGCAGGGCGCAAGGCAUAUUGCAAAGUGUGGUUGCACGCCGCCGUCCACGCGGCCUGGAACGCGCCCGCCGAGUCGGCCCCAACGCCAGGCCUCGCGCCGUAGUCCACCACGUUGUACUCCGCCGCCGCUGUUGCCGCUGACGAGUUAAAGGAGGCGUCCAUGCGUGAUUGAGUUUUUCCUCUCCCUCUGCAUCUCAAUCUCGAUUCCAAGAUGGCCGUCGGAGCUGAGGUCCGCGUCGAUCUGGAGCGGCCUCUACCUGGAGAUGAGGAGGCUUGAGCGGUGUUCCCCUCCAUCGAAUUUGCUUCCUCCCCCAAAUCGAAAACGGAAGAUGCGAGGAGGGGAUCGGCUCUGGCGCUCGCUCCGGCGCUCCGGCCGCGUUCCUGCCGCUUGCCUGGGCGCGGCCGUCACUGGAUCGGCCGUCACUGCCGCUGCCGCUCAUGCGGAUGCUGCUUGCUCGCGUACGCGCCGCUGCCUACUGGUCUUGGCAUGCCAUAGCUAUGCGGCAGAUUAUUGCCAAAUUUGUAGUUACAGAUGCUAAUUAUUACCAGAUUUAGCUGCCAGAAUAAAUAUAAAAGUGAUUGCUGGCUGGAUUAACUGUUCUGCUGCCAGAAUAAAUAAGAGUGAUUACUGGAUUAA